CACCCUGGAUAGCCAAACAAAGGCUACUCCAGGCCAAUUAAGACACCUGAUGCCAAUUAACCAGUUAAGGCCAUUAGGCUAAUGGAGACAGCUGGGACCAAUCAAGGUCCCACUUAUACUGUUUAAAAGCUCUCCUUCCAGAGCCCUCCAGGAGGCUGAGGUGAAAGGACCUGGAGGAGAGGAAGCAUUGCUAAAUCCUGAGCAGAUAAUCCAAGAUGGCUGACAGCAGAGACAAUUCAGGCACAAAGUGGUGAUUGUGACACCUGUGGUUUAACCUUUUCCAUUUCUGAAGGGUGCUGUAAUGCUCCAGAUCCCUACACAGAGAAGGGCUAAAGCUAGAACAAGCCAUUCCGCUCUAUAGAGACCACAUGCAGAACUUUCUCUUGGCAACCAGCGAUGCUUGAAUGUUUAAAUGAGGCGAAUCUGAAAUAAACUCACCAUUUUCCUGGAAACAAAGAGAAUGGUAUCUGAAAAGAUGGACAUCAGGCAAAAGGCAUGCUGCCCUAGGAUACUGAUGGAUAAUAAAAAUGCAGCCCUCUCUAGAGAAUUACCCAAUGCACAAAUAUUAAUUUUAAGGGCUCAAGAUCAUCUGCCUAAAACAGCUGUCUGCCUGCACCAAAUAUUGUCUUAUAAACACUCAUUGGGCAACACUGGCACAGCAUGGAGGAGAAAAAACACAGGCAUAAGGAGGAGAGAACUACGGUGCAUGAGACAGAGAAGGAAUGUCCUCACCUCACUCUCCUGCAGCGCAAAAAAAAGUGCCUGGAGAUCUGUAUUAUUGCUGCUAUACCAACUCCUCCUCAUCCAACUGGCUUUGCUCAUUCACCCAUUACACUUCCUUCCUCCUUCUCCUUAUUAUCUAUCUAGGUAUUUAUAUGGCCCAGAUUACUGCAGUGUCCAAGCCCUUCCAAUCCCUUAUGUUGGUUUGUUUUCAUCAAAUUCAAGCACUGUCUAUCCUGCACUGAAAAGUGAAUUAAAAACAUGAACCGUGAUGCUGUUGUCAAGCGAGUAGCUGUCCCUCAGCCCCACCACUCAUUGCCUGUGGCAUUGGCAAUGGAUAAAGAAUGGGAACACACCACCUUACUAUGAGUAAGAAAUUAUCUCUGGUCUGUUUGGAAGAAUACAUAAGCUUUUCCAAAGCCCUUCACGUUCCUCUCAUUUUUAUUCUUCUUUAAACUUCUUCCUACAAUGGCUGAAUGAGUACAUUCUGAAGAGAACUCCUAACUUUUUGCAGCCAUAUACUAUAUCACACUUUUUUAGUCUUCAGAAAGUUUAGUUGGCAAGACAGGGGAGGGAGCUACAGGAGCUGGUGACGGAAGGGGAGAAACAGCUACACGAGGCAGGGGAGAGAAGCAUGAGCGAUGGAGAGGCAGAGCAGGUUAUGGGGAAGGAGCCUAGCGAGAGGCAAAGGGAGAUGCAAAAUGGGGAGAGAAGAGACAGACCCAAAAUAUGGGGAG